CAUCCUCCAAGGCUAAAUACUCCUGACUGACCGAUAGUGAACCAGUACCGUGAGGGAAAGGCGAAAAGAACCCCGGCGAGGGGAGUGAAAAAGAACCUGAAACCGUGUACGUACAAGCAGUGGGAGCCCCACCACUAAGCCAGUGGUGAAGUCCACAUACGCAUCCUUUGCUGAGGAUACGGUUAACGGAGCGAAAGCGACGUUCAACCGCAAAAAAAGAAGCAGAGGGGGCUUAGUGGUGGGGUGACUGCGUACCUUUUGUAUAAUGGGUCAGCGACUUAUAUUCUGUAGCAAGGUUAACCGAAUAGGGGAGCCGGAGGGAAACCGAGUCUUAAUUGGGCGUUAAGUUGCAGGGUAUAGACCCGAAACC
rnacentral:rRNA from 1 species